UAGAGCCGUAUACGAGACCCGUACGUACGGUUCAAUGAGAGGGGGAUAGAGACUGUUUCAAGU
rnacentral:autocatalytically_spliced_intron from 1 species